UGGGACAGCACCCCACUCCUCACAGCUGCUCUCCUGCCAGGGUGGGCUUGGGACACAGCUGUCACCGAGGACACAUGACUGAAGCAAUUCGCAGAACAGAAGCACUCAUCAACAACAGCAAACUUCCCAGAAAAGGCUGUGGGAGCGUUACCAGCUUGUUUCCAUCCCCUGAGGAGACCCCACUCCAUCACACAGCAAAGGUCACUCCCGAGCCGGUGUUCCAGCCCGUCACCACAUUCCCGUUUGUGAUAAAUGAGAGUUCCCAGCUCAGAAAGGCACUACUGGAUUUGGCACUCGCUCAGAGCCCUGUCCCUGCCGUCCCUGCAGCUUGUGAUGCAAACCGGGAUUCAAAGCCGACCUGGUCUCUUCGGUUUCCAUGUGGAUUCUUGCCUAAAUCAAGGAAGGUUUAAAGGAUAAGAUCAAGACCUUCUCUGAAAUUCACUGCUC